UACAGAGGGUGCGAGCGUUAAUCGGAAUUACUGGGCGUAAAGCGUGCGUAGACGGUUCUGUAAGUCGGAUGUGAAAUCCCCGGGCUCAACCUGGGAAUUGCAUUCGAGACUGCAAAGCUUGGGUGCGGAAGAGGGAAGCGGAAUUUCCGGUGUAGCGGUGAAAUGCGUAGAUAUCGGGAGGAACACCAGUGGCGAAGGCGAUCAUCUGGGGUUGUUCUGACACUGAGGAGCGAAAGCUAGGGGAGCAAACGGG
rnacentral:rRNA from 1 species